rnacentral:misc_RNA from 1 species
AAAACUAACGUCACUCCCAUAGUCACAAGACCUCUCAGCUGAGGCUGUCUUAAUUUCUCUGUUUUUCCCAAAUAUAAAGUUUUUCGAUUCUUCUUCGGUAAUAACAGACGUGAUUAUCAAUUCUAUAGCCAAAAUGGCUAAUAUCGGGGAUGAAAAUGUUAGUCAACUUAUGCCGUCGCUGGGUGAUGAAAAAAUCGAUAUGAUUGCAGCCACCAGCGUCUUGCAAAUUCGUGCAAGCGAGAUCCGCCAAACUCAGAUCAAUUGGCAGUCUUAUCUGCAGUCUCAGAUGAUCACGCAACGUGACCAUGACUUCAUUGUGAACUUGGAUCAGCGUGGUCAAAAGGAGCUGCCGGAUAGGAACCCAGAAACCUGUGCUGAGGUGUUCAUGAACUUGCUGACGCACAUCAGCAAGGACCACACCAUCCAGUACUUGCUGGUCCUGAUUGAUGACAUCCUUUCUGAAGACAAAAGCAGGGUGAAGAUCUUCCGUGAGGCGAGGUCUCUGGGCAACCCGUGGCAGCCGUUCCUCAACCUGCUGAACCGUCAGGAUGAGUUUGUCCAGCACAUGACUGCGCGCAUCAUCGCCAAGCUGGCUUGCUGGCACCCACACCUGAUGGAGAAGAGCGACCUCCACUUCUACCUCUCCUGGCUCAAGGACCAACUGAAAAUGAACAACAAUGACUACAUUCAAUCGGUGGCUCGUUGCCUGCAAAUGAUGCUCCGCGUGGACGAGUACCGCUUCGCGUUCCUGUCUGUGGACGGCAUCUCCACCCUGCUGUCUAUCCUGGCCUCCAGGGUCAACUUCCAGGUGCAAUAUCAGUUGGUGUUCUGCCUGUGGGUGCUGACUUUCAACCCGCUGUUAGCCGAGAAGAUGAACAAGUUCAACGCCAUCCCCAUCCUGGCUGACAUCCUCAGCGACUCCGUGAAGGAGAAGGUCACUCGCAUUGUGCUCGCUGUCUUCAGGAACCUGAUCGAGAAGCCUGAAGAUCAUCAGGUGGCCAAAGAACACUGCAUCGCCAUGGUGCAGUGCAAGGUCCUGAAGCAGCUCUCCAUCUUGGAGCAGAAGCGUUCUGAUGACGAGGACAUUAUGAACGAUGUGGACUUCCUUAACGAACGCCUGCAGACCUCCGUGCAAGACCUCAGCUCCUUCGACCAGUAUGCCACUGAAGUUAAGAGUGGCCGUCUCGAAUGGUCUCCCGUCCACAAAUCCGCUAAGUUCUGGCGCGAGAACGCGGCCCGCCUCAACGAGCGCGGCCAGGAGUUGCUGCGGACGCUCGUGCACCUGCUGGAGAAGAGCUCCGACCCCGUCGUGCUGGCCGUGGCCUGCUACGACGUCGGCGAAUAUGUUCGCCACUACCCCAGGGGCAAGCAUAUUAUCGAGCAACUGGGUGGCAAACAACGCGUGAUGUACCUGCUCAGCCACGAAGACCCUAACGUGCGAUAUGAAGCUCUACUCGCCGUCCAGAAAUUGAUGGUUCACAACUGGGAGUACCUUGGCAAGCAACUGGAGAAGGAACAGAUCGACAAGCAGGCUGGCACCGUUGUCGGCGCUAAGGCUUAAACAUGUUAUAUAUUGUAAAUGAAAUAUUUAAUUCGUUGUUAUUAUUGUUGUCUUGAAUGUACCAGGCAAUAUUACAGAUAUAGUAACUGCAUUACGUAAAACAUAAUGUAAAUAAUGUGCCUCUUUCCAUUCUGACAUAACUUGCAUCUGCGUAAUCUGUUAUUACAUGCCUAUUAUAGCUUAAAACAAUAAAAAUAGCACUAAAUUUUUUGAAAUAUUUAGUGUACACAUUCCUUUAAGGGUUUUAUUGCAUAAAAAAAUUUAAUAUGAAUGUGAUUUAUUUAAAAAAAGAUAUUAUAAUUAUAUAAUCAAUAAUUAAAAUCAAUAGAGUUUUAGUGGUUUGUGAUGUGAUAACUGGCGACAUCAGUAUUGUGAAUAAAGUUCAUCAUAAUUAUGUUGA